rnacentral:lncRNA from 1 species
GUUUACAUUAGAAACCGAGAUCAUAAAGGUAAUUUGGAUAAACACUUGAUGAAGAAACAGGAUGGAAUGACCAAGAAUAAUUGUAAAGAGAGAGAGAAAAAACCAAUGACCAGGAAAAGAAUUGAGGAGGGGAAAAAAAGAAGAAAGUAACUGAGGAAGAAGGAAACCAGGCAUAUGCAUGUGCCUGUAGUCUCAGCUACUUAGGAGGCUGAGGCAGGAGGAUGGCUUGAGCUUGAGAUUUCAAGGCUAACCUGGACCACAGAGUGAGACCCUAUUUCUUAAAAGAGAGAGAAAGAAGAAAGAAACUUUUAAGCUUGAAGAGUGCCAAGUGCAGCAGUUCCUAGAGAACCACGAAGAUGCCAUGAUAUUUCAUUGAUCCUGAGGCCUGCUCCACAGGCUCCUCUGCUGUGCUGCCCUGCCUUGGAGCCAGCUGACUAUGGAUUGAAACCUCUACAAAGUAUAAGCCAAAAUAAACCUCUCCUCUUUUAAAUUGUGGGCAUCAGGUGUUGUGUCCCAGUGAUGAGAAAGUAACUAACAGAAGCUCUCUAUAUUUAAAAUGCUACUGGAAAAAAGAUGGUCAUUUAGCCAGACACCAUGGUGCAUAUCUAUUAAACCAGCACUCCGGAAGGCUGAGACAGGAGGGUCACGAGUUCAAGCCCAGCCUGGCCAACUCAGAACUGUAGUGAGAUCCUGUCUAAAAAAUAAAAAGGGUUGGGGAUGCAUCUCAGUGCAAAGGGCUUUGGUUCAAUCCCAGUUCCAAGCACAGAAGCAAAGGUGGAAAUUUCCCCAUCUCAAUGUAGCACAGAGAGCACAGACUGGAGGAGGCUGGUGGGAGGAGAGAUUGGGCUGCACUACCCAGUCCAGAGUCACAGGGUGGGGACAAGCAGGUGGGCAAAAAGCCCUCCCCCCACUAAAGACCAUCAGUGCCUCACAAGUGGUGUCUAUGAUACUCCUUUUGAGGUCGUGUAGUUAUUGUUUUAUGUUGCCUAUCAAAACUAAGUUCAAUACACACAAAAAAGAAAGAGAAAACAAUGUCCCCAAUUCAGCACCUGAUCUCAUGUCUCUCUAGGGUAAGAUGGUGAAAGACAAAAAAAAAAAUAUGGCUUUUUUAAAACUCAAAUGAUUCUUUGCUGCACCAAGGAUGUUGCUUUUAAAAUUUAGAUUUUCUUUCC